AGAGUUUGAUCUUGGCUCAGAACAAACGCUGGUGGCGUGCUUUAUACAUGCAAGUCGAGCGGAAAUUGACUUUUUUUUGGGUAGCCUUCGGGUUAUCCGAAUUUGAGUUGAUUUUAGCGGCGAACGGGUGAGUAACGCGUGGGUAAUCUACCCUUAAGACUGGGAUAAUAUCUCGAAAGGGAUGCUAAUACCGGAUAAUGUUAGCGAGUUAAUGCUUGCUAACCAAAGUUGGUUUUUGAUCUUCGCUCAGGGAUGAGCCCGCGUUCUAUUAGCUAGUUGGUGAGGUAAAGGCUUACCAAGGCUAUGAUGGGUAGCCGGCCUGAGAGGGUGUUCGGCCACAUUGGGACUGAGACACGGCCCAGACUCCUACGGGAGGCAGCAGUAGGGAAUCUUCCGCAAUGGGCGAAAGCCUGACGGAGCGACGCCACGUGGACGAUGAAGGCCUUCGGGUUGUAAAGUCCUGUCAGGAGGGACGAUGUCUGCUUUUGCAGAUGACGGUACCUCCAGAGGAAGCUCUGGCCAACUACGUGCCAGCAGCCGCGGUAAUACGUAGAGAGCGAGCGUUGUUCGGAUUUACUGGGCGUAAAGGGUGCGUAGGCGGUUGUAUAAGUCAAAAGUGAAAUCCCUAUUCCCAAGAUAGGAACUGCUUUUGAUACUGUAUGACUAGAGAGCAGGAGAGGGAAACGGAACUCUGAGAGUAGCGGUGAAAUGCGUAGAUAUUCAGAGGAACGCCAGUGGCGUAGGCGGUUUUCUAGUCUGCUUCUGACGCUGAGGUACGAAAGCUAGGGGAGCGAUCGGGAUUAGAGACCCCGGUAGUCCUAGCCGUAAACGAUGGAUACUAAGUGUGGGGGGAGCAUUACCCUCUGUGCUGAAGCUAACGCGUUAAGUAUCCCGCCUGGGGAGUACAGUCGCAAGACUGAAACUCAAAAGAAUUGACGGGGGGCUGAACAAGCAGUGGAGCACGUGGUUUAAUUCGACGCGAAACGAAGAACCUUACCAGGGCUUGACAUGAUAGUAGUAGCGACCUGAAAGGGAAGCGAUUCUAACUUUAUAGUUAGAAAGCUACCACAGGUGGUGCAUGGCUGUCGUCAGCUCGUGCCGUGAGGUGUUAGGUUAAGUCCUUUAACGAGCGCAACCCCUCUUCUUAGUUGUCAGCGGGUUAAGCCGGAUACUCUAAGGAGACUGCCACUUAUAAGGUGGAGGAAGGUGGGGAUAACGUCAAGUCAUCACGCCCCUUAUGUCCUGGGCUACACACGUGCUACAAUGGUUGGAGCAAUGGGAUGCAACUCCGCGAGGAGAAGCAAAUCUCUUAAGACCAAUCUCAGUUCGGAUUGUAGGCUGCAAUUCGCCUACAUGAAGUCGGAAUUGCUAGUAAUCGCGAAUCAGAUAUGUCGCGGUGAAUACGUUCUCAGCCCUUGUACACACCGCCCGUCACACCACCUGAGUUGGAUGCACUCGAAAAUGCCUGACUAACUGGCUUGCCAGAGGGAUGGUAUUGAAGGUGUGUUUGGCAAGGGGGAUGAAGUCGUAACAAGGCAGUCGUACCGGAAGGUGCGGCUG
rnacentral:rRNA from 1 species